GGAUUGUGGCUCAGCGAUAGAGUACUCGCCUAGCAUGUGGGAGGCUCUGGGUUCGAUCCUCAGCACCA
rnacentral:tRNA from 1 species